rnacentral:rRNA from 1 species
UAACCUGCCCAAGAGACUGGGAUAACACCUGGAAACAGAUGCUAAUACCGGAUAACAACACUAGACGCAUGUCUAGAGUUUAAAAGAUGGUUCUGCUAUCACUCUUGGAUUGACCUGCGGUGCAUUAGCUAGUUGGUAAGGUAACGGCUUACCAAGGCAAUGAUGCAUAGCCGAGUUGAGAGACUGAUCGGCCACAUUGGGACUGAGACACGGUCCAAACUCCUACGGGAGGCAGCAGAU